rfam:Lactobacillus namurensis DSM 19117 NODE_15, whole genome shotgun sequence.
AGAUUUCUUCGGGGCAGGGUGCAAUUCCCGACCGACGGUGACAACGGCAACGACCGUUGAAGUCCGUGACCCGCUUCACGCGGUGGACCCAGUGAGAGUCUGGGACCGACAGUAUAGUCUGGAUGGGAGAAGAAACAA